AUGAACGCUGGCGGCGUGGAGAAGGCAUGCAAGUCGCACGGUCCCGAUGCAAAUCGGGAUAGUGGCAAACGAGAUAGUAAUACGUAGAUUAUCUGCCCUUGUCACGGGGAUAAUCCCGAGAAAUCGGGACUAAUAACCGAUAGCCUCCUUAUCGCAAGAUAAGGAGUAAAGGCGUAAGCCGGAUAAGGAGGAGUCUGCGCAAUAUCAGCUAGUUGGCAAGGUAAUGGCUUACCAAGGCUAUGACGUUUAGGGGGGGUGAGAGCCCGAUCCCCAUCGAUGGCACUGCGACACGGGCCAUACACCUACGGGUGGCAGCAGUCGAGAGUCUUCCACAAUGGGCGAAAGCCUGAUGGAGCGACGCCGCGUGAAUGAUGAAGGGCUUCGGCCUGUAAAAUUCUUUUCUCCGUGAGAAAUCCGAGUCAAAUCGGUAUGAUGUUAGCGGAGGAAUAAGGGGUUGCUAAACUCGU
rnacentral:rRNA from 1 species